AACGAACGCUGGCGGCAUGCCUAACACAUGCAAGUCGAACGAGACCUUCGGGUCUAGUUGCUCACGGGUGCGUCACGCGUGGGAACCUGCCCUUAGGUUCGGAAUAACUCCCCGAAAUGGGUGCUAAUACCGGAUAAUUUCUUCUGACCAAAGAUUUAUCGCCUUUGGAUGGGCCCGCGUUGGAUUAGCUUGUUGGUAGUGUAAAAGCCUACCAAGGCGACGAUCCAUAGCUGGUCUGAGAGGAUGAUCAGCCACACUGAGACUGAGACACGGCCCAGACUACUACGGGAGGCAGCAGUGGGGAAUAUUGGACAAUGGGCGAAAGCCUGAUCCAGCAAUGCCGGGUGAGUGAUGAAGGCCUUAGGGUUGUAAAGCUCUUUUACCCGGGAUGAUAAUGACAGUACCGGGAGAAUAAGCUCCGGCUAACUCCGUG
rnacentral:rRNA from 1 species